rnacentral:rRNA from 1 species
UACGUAGGGUGCGAGCGUUGUCCGGAUUAUUGGGCGUAAAGGGCUCGUAGGCGGCGUGUCGCGUCGGGAGUGAAAGACCGGGCUUAACCCCGGUUCUGCUUCCGGUACGGGCAUGCUGGAGUGUGGCAGGGGAGACUGGAAUUCCUGGUGUAGCGGUGGAAUGCGCAGAUAUCAGGAGGAACACCGGUGGCGAAGGCGGGUCUCUGGGCCAUUACUGACGCUGAGGAGCGAAAGCGUGGGGAGCGAACAGG